AAAUCACAAAGGCUGAAUGUCUGAGCAAAUUGUAAAAAUUGCUCAGGCAACGGGAGACCCACUGUAGCCAUAGGGGUGAAUCGGCAAGAAAGAACUUGCCGUAGGGAUAGCCUUCUUGUCCCGAACCCGUCAGCUAAUCCCGUAAGCCUCAAGAAGGGAGUUU
rnacentral:sRNA from 2 species